rnacentral:rRNA from 1 species
UGGGGAAUUUUGGACAAUGGGGGCAACCCGUGAUCCAGCAAUGCCGCGUGUGUGAAGAAGGCCUUCGGGUUGUAAAGCACUUUUGUCCGGAAAGAAAACGUCGUGGUUAAUACCCGUGGCGGCUGACGGUACCGGAAGAAUAAGCACCGGCUAACUACGUGCCAGCAGCCGCGGUAAUACGUAGGGUGCAAGCGUUAAUCGGAAUUACUGGGCGUAAAGCGUGCGCAGGCGGUCCGCUAAGACAGAUGUGAAAUCCCCGGGCUUAACCUGGGAACUGCAUUUGUGACUGGCGGGCUAGAGUAUGGCAGAGGGGGGUAGAAUUCCACGUGUAGCAGUGAAAUGCGUAGAGAUGUGGAGGAAUACCGAUGGCGAAGGCAGCCCCCUGGGCCAAUACUGACGCUCAUGCACGAAAGCGUGGGGGAGCAAACAGGAUUAGAUACCCUGGUAGUCCACGCCCUAAACGAUGUCAACUAGUUGUCGGGUCUUCAUUGACUUGGUAACGUAGCUAACGCGUGAAGUUGACCGCCUGGGGAGUACGGUCGCAAGAUU